CCAGGGACGCGAGGAGAGGGGACUAAGACAUUAAUUGAGUGGGGUCCACGUCCCGCGCCGGAACCGCCACCAUGGACAGACGCCCACCCGGACCCUCCCUAUUUGUUUUGAGGUGCGUUCGGGAGUCCGCACCUUAGGGGGGGGGGGUUCUGUCACGCCCUGGUCUAAGUAUUUUGUGUUUUCUUCAUGUAUUGGGUCAGGCCAGGGUGUGGCAUAGAGUUUUUGUAUUGUGGUGUGUUUUGUCUUGGGAUUUUGGAAUGUGUGUAUAGUUUGAUUGUAGCUUAGUGGGGUGUUCUAGGAGAGUCUAUGGCUGUCUGAAGUGGUUCUCAAUCAGAGGCAGGUGUUUACCGUUGUCUCUGAUUGGGAACCAUAUUUAGGCAGCCAUAUUCUUUGGUUGUAUUGUGGGUGAUUGUCCUGUGUGUCUUGAUGUCCUGGUUAGAGGUUAGUAGACACUUGUAUAGGCUGUUUUCGGUUUUCGUUUUAUAGUGUUAGUGUUUUGUUGUGUGCUACGUUUGUUUAUUAAAGAUGAAUCGCAACAGACACGCUGCAGUUUGGUCCGACUCUCCUUCACCAUUAGAAAGCCGUUACAACCUCAGAACAAUGGACAUGUGCCAUAUAGAAGGGAAUCACACCUGACCAAUGGGGCUCCAGGUCAGGGUGCUGGUGAGACUUCACCCCUCCUCUGCAGGGUUAACGAUGAGACUAAGGAAGCGACUCCUGGUGCACAGAGUUCAGGACCUCUUCAGAUGAAUGGAGGUCCUCCCAUGUCUAACAGAGCUGCAGAGGAGACCACUGCUCUAUUGGACAAACAGGCCUUGGACAAGGACCAAGUCACCAAACCUCCUGAGUUAAUAGACAAAGGACCUAAUGACAUGGAGUCAAGUAGAGGAGAACUGUAACAAAUGGUGGACGUUUGUAUAACAAAAGAAAACCUAAUAAGACAUUAUAAGACACAGUAAUAUAUGAUAUACAGUACUUAUUAUAAGAUACAGUAAUAUAUGAUAUACCGUACUUAUGAUAAGAUACAGUAAUUUAUGAUAUACAGUACUCAUUAUAAGAUACAGUAAUAUAUGAUAUACAGUACUUAUUAUAAGAUACAGUACUUAUGAUAAGAUACAGUAAUAUAUGAGAAACAGUACUUAUGAUAAGAUACACAUAUGUGACUAGCUUCAUCAUAAUCAGUCAUGUCAACCCCAAGACACAUUCUGACCAGUGUGUUUCACUGCACAUUGAUUUUCAGAAACAUCAACAGUUUAAGUUAAUUCUCUAUGUGACAGGUAUAAUGUGGAUAGGUUAGGAAACGUGUUUAAGUGAAAUCAGUAUGAAACAUAAACCUCUUUAGUAGAGACAUUUCCAAGAUCAUAAGGUCUCAAUGUCUUGUGGACAUGUCAAAUAGCUAAACAUUGACCGGGCGUUAUUAUUUACACUAUGUAUACACAAAUAUAUGUAGACACCCCUUCAAAUUAGUGGAUAUGUCUAUUUCAGCGACACCCGUUGCUGACAGGUGUAUAAAAUCGAGCACGCAUCCAUGCAAUAUCCAUAGACAAACAUUGACAGUAGAAUGGCCCGUACUGAAGAGCUCAGUGACUUUCAAUGUGGCACCGUCAUAGGAUGCCACCUUUCCAACCAGUCAGUUCAUAACAUUUCUGCCCUGCUAGAGCUGCCCCGGUCAACUGUAAGGGCUGUUAUUGUGGAGCAUCAUUGGCUCAGCCAUGAAGGAGUAGGCCACACAACCACAACAGAACGUGACCGUCGUGUGGUGAAGCGUGUCAGUCGCAAUCGUCCGUCCUCGGUUGCAACACACACUACAGAGUUCCAAACUGCGUCUGGAAGCAUCGUCAGCACAACUGUUUGUCACGAGCUUCAUGAACUGGGUUUCCAUGACCGAACAGUCGCACACAAGCCUCAGAUCAGCAUGCGCAAUGCCAAGCGUUGGCUGGAGUGGUGUAAAGCUCGACGCCAUUGGACUCUGGAGCAGUGGAAACACAUUCUUGCUUCACCAUCUGUUAGUCCAUCAGACGAAUCUGGGUUUGUCGGAUACCAGGAGAACGCUACCUGCCCCAAUGCAUAGUGCUAACUGUAAAGUUGGGUGGAGGAGGAAUAAUGGUCUAGGGCUGUUUUUCAUGGUUCGGGCCCCUUAGUUCCAGUGCAGGGAAAUCUUAACUCUACAGCAUACAAUGACAUUCUAGACGAAUCUGUGCUUCCAACUUUGUGGCAACAGUUUGGGGAAGGCCCUUUCCUGUUCCAGCAUGACAAUGCCCCCGUGCACAAAGCAAGGUCCAUACAGAAAUUAUUUGUUUAGAUCAGUGUGGAAGAACUUGACUGGCCUGCACCCCAUCAAACACCUUUGGGAUGAAUUGGAACGCCGACUGCGAGCCAGGCCUAAUCACCCAACACCAGUGCCCGACCUCACUAAUGCACUUGUGGCUGAAUGGAAGCAAGUCCGUGAAGGGAUAGUUCACCCAAAAUUACAAAACUACAUAUUGUUGUUCUUACCCUGUAUGGACAAAAUAAGAAAGCAAACCAAUGCUUUUGUUUAUUUACUUGGUUACGGAAAUGCAAACGUUUUAGCACUUGUGGCACAAAUCCAAGUCAAUGACCCUGUUAAAAGCAUUUUUCUGAAAUCAUCCUAGUGUCAACAUUUGAUUGUGUAGCUCAAUUAAGUCAUUUUAAGAUGAUUUGGACAUGAAGCACAAAAACAAUGCAAGAAAUGGGAUAUUGGCUUCACAUUACUUGACAUUGGAUUUGAUGUAAAAAGUUUGCAUUUGAAGACAGUGGUCAGGUAAACAAAACCAAAGCAUGGAUUACUGUCUGAGCUUGUCCAUAGACUGUUUACGGGGUAAAGAAAGCACAUGAUAUUUUGUAAUUAGGGUGAACUAUCCCUUUAACAGGAGUGCGGAACUCCUACGGGAAGUCGUUACAGUAUAGCCCUCUGACACAUUUUCCUAAGGAGACUUUCAUGAGGUCAUACCACUUAGCUUCAUAAUCACAAGGCAUUAUGCUGCCUGCUUAAAAUGCUGAAGGAAUAUAGACAUGUAUCAGCCAUUAGUGCCAAUGUCAUGCAAUAUGAUGUAUAAUGCAUAGAUUACAAGGUGUUAUAAAUACACUUAUCACACAUUAUGAAGAGGGUAUUCAUAGGACGUGUUACCCACAAUGUUUAUCACAUUGAGAGUAUCUGUCAGGUCAAAUGACUUAGGCGAAUGACAUACCCACAUACAGUACACUGACACCUUAUAACCUUAGUGUCAGAAAAGGUCCAUUUUCUUCACAUCUGAAUUAGGGUUGUUUACUUCCUAGUAAUGUAUUUGAUAUGUCAUGUCUGUGGGUUGGUCCCAUACAUGUAUGAAUGGCUUUCAGUUGAUGCAUUUUAUGGUUAGUUACAUCACUCUUUGCAUUUUGACUGUUGGAUUGAUAUGAUCUGCUCAUACAUUGCCAUACAAGUGAGUGAGUUAAGACUAUUGUUUAAUGAACGACUCAGGUCUGAUGGAUACAGUUGACCCUCAUACUCUUGUAUUAUUUGUAACAAACUUUCUGCAUGUAUUUGUAUGAGGAAACCUCUACAUUAUUGUCAUAUCUACUUUUUAUCCUGCAAGUUUAGGAGGACUAUUCUGCAGAGUUUUGUGUUUUAUAUAAUAGAAAUGUAGAACUUAAGAUGACUUCUUAGUAUUAUAAUAUAUGUUUCAUUCAUUUCAUCAUUAAAACAUUCCUUUCCA